UGCAACUUUAAACUUAUUCCUGAAAAGAGAAAUUUUAGAGGAAUAAUAGGGAAUAGGGAUUUGCUGAUCCCCAUUUAUCUAUCAUGCAAGCGGGGCUUAAAGAAGCUUUAUUUUUAAAGACGAUGGUCUCCCUCCAGUUCGAAUACCCUUCGACCUUCGACCUUCGACCUUCUCCCCACGGAAAUGAACCAGAGUAGACGGCGAUGGAGUCCCCUCUCCUCUAACUAAACCCUAGUUUCUCCCAUAGAAACCCUAAUCAAACUCAGCUCCAUGCGAGGAGGGACAGAUAUGGAUAUCUUCAAGGUUCGAUUCGCCGUUUCGCUGGUUACCUCUCUCUCUGGCGUUCUCCUCGGGAGCCCGGUGAUGGUGAUCCACAUGCUGGCCGGCUACAGGUUUUCGGUUUCUUGUUCCAGUUCUUCUCUCUCCUCUCCUCGUUGAAUCGAGGAGUGCUUCCCUUUUGCGAUCGUUGAGAAAUCUCGUGAAAGGUUUGCGGCUCUGCUUCUAGUCUUCUCCUUCACAUCUUCAAAUCGUACAAGGGUUGGAGAGGAGAGGAAGAGGGACAUUGAUGCUGGGUUCAAGGAAGGAGGGCAGCGGAAUUGGGUUCCAGUUCUAUAGCUAAUAGUGCUCUUGCGACUAUCUUGGUAAUCAUAUUUGCAGCAAUAGGUGGUGGCCAAGAUAGAUGCUUGGACACAAGACAGUCAAGGCUUGUGACUGGCCUUGUUGGUGGUGUCAUUGGUCAUUAUGCCUGAUGCAAUGGUGAAACUUGGUCUUUGGAACUAGGAAUUUUUAGCAAUUCACAACCAUGACUAGUUACAAUCUUUGAGACAGCCCGAAAGGCAAAUGGUGGAGUCACUAUGGAGGGACUUCUAGGAGCUGCAGUAGCUGGCUUUGUUAUUGGGCUGGCUUUUGUUGUCAUUGGAUUGCUUACAACAGAAUGUGCUGGAGAUGUAGCUAGCAUUCACCUCCUGGUAAUACCUUUAGCUUCAGCAGCAGUGAUUUGCAGAAGCACAAUAGAUUCAUUAUUAGGUGCGACAAUCCAGUUUAGUGGAUAUUGCACAUUGCACAAGAAGGUGGUUGGAAAACGGGGACCAACUGCGAUCAAGAUCUCAGGAAUGAACAUGCCGGACAACAACGGGGUCGAUGCAGUGUCAAUAUUUUUAACUACACUGCUUACCUCCAUUGCAUGCUUGUACGUAUUCUAAGCACAUGGUCUGUGGCUCUUAUCUUUAUUUAUCAUUGAACAAUAAGAGGUACCAUUUGAGAAGCCAAAUAGUUAGCCACCAUGCCUCUCUCUCUCUCUCUCUCUUUGUUUUUUUUUAAUAUUUGGGACCUAUUUUUUUGUACCAAUUCUUGCACAUAGGUUUGAUGCACCAACAUCAGGAUGCUAGACUCCUAAAAGCACAUUUGUCUGUGCUACAAUAUCAGUGCAGCAGCUUUGUGAAUUUUCUAGGGAAUUUCCACUUUAAUCUGCAAUUUAACUUACUGCAUGAAUUGUGAGCAGGAGUUUCAUUUACCUCCUCCUGUAGGGACAGGUUAACAUCUUUCAGAAAGCUUGGCUAGACGGAUGAAGUUAUCAGACUGCCAUAAAAAUCAUUCCUCACCAUUUUGAUGGGGUAAGAUUGAUCAAACUCUAUCCUGCAACAUGAUGAACUUUUGUUGGCAAACAGUACACAGUCAAUGCUAGGGGCAUCAAAAAGUUAAAUAAUAUGGAUCUGUGCAUGUUUUACAGCAUUUCUUGUUAUUUUAGUGCAGACAUACAGCUUAGCAUAGUUCAAGAUAGAUAAGGCUCUUGGCAGAAAAUGAACAAAGAUGGAAACAUGGGAUCUACUAUCUGGAACCUCAAGUGGCCUUCAUGUCUUGAGCCGGAUAACCUGCGUGAUCAGCAAUGCCUCGAACCCACUUCUCAAGAAGGAGAUAAGAAAAAGGCCUCAAAUCCAAUCAAUCCUUCAGGUCCUAUCAAACGCGAUAGAGGUUUGCACCCAUUUGCAUGAGUACAGGAAUCUAAAAUACACACUAACAUAUAAUGAGUCCAAGCAUUAAAUACUAGGAGAAGUGUUCACAACAUUCAUGGAGUUACACAACGAUGCACAAGUAAUGGUACAUCAACAUCAGAACUGCAUGUUUUAUUUUAGACAGAAUGCGUUAAGCUCCAAAUGCAAGAUAGAUAGAAGGCAUUCUGGUAAUUACGUUUUUUUGCUUUGUUUCUACAUGGUUACUGGCAGCAGCAGCAGAGGCAGUCUAGGCAGCACUCGCAGGUCUCGAAGCA